CUUUAACUGAAAAUUGGACAAAUAUGCAAACUAUCCAUUGAUUCUCAUUUGUCAAGACAGUGUGAGCAGGACACAGCUCUGCUCACAGUGUGUGGGACUCAGGCCCAAAUGAUUCACCUCCUCUUUCUAAGCCACAGUGAGACCUAUCAAUCCCUUAUCAAGGUAACAGUCUAUGCAAGGCAACAAACCAGUUUCUCAGUCUCCAUGGACACCCAGUUGAACAACAGUAGUUAUAUAUGUAAAGCCCUCUAUCUGAAUUGAAAUCUGAGGAUGACCUUGGGAUGAUGAUAAUGGACAGAUCUUUGAGGGACUGGUGACUCAGAGAUUGCACAAGAGUGUCCAGGACAGUACCACAAGAAUGACCCUCCCGCUCCAUCACAAGAAUGACCUUCCUGCUCCAUCACAAGAUGACCCUCCUGCUCCAUCACAAGAAUGAUCCUCCUGCUCCAUCAGUUUCUUAUUUGUAGAAACACCUAAGUUUAUUAUGGAUUAUGUCUUUAUGGCUGGGGAGGUAGGAAGUUCCAAAAGAAGCCAGUGGGAAACA